AGAGUUUGAUUAUGGCUCAGGAUGAACGCUGGCGGCGUGCUUAACACAUGCAAGUCGAGCGAAGCACUUCACAGAUUCUUCGGAUUGAAGUGGAUUGACUUAGCGGCGGACGGGUGAGUAACGCGUGGGGAACCUGCCCCAUACCGGGGGAUAACAGUUAGAAAUGACUGCUAAUACCGCAUAAGCGCACAGUGAGGCAUCUCACAGUGUAGAAAAACUCCGGUGGUAUGGGAUGGACCCGCGUUGGAUUAGCCAGUUGGCGGGUAACGGCCCACCAAAGCGACGAUCCAUAGCCGGCCUGAGAGGGCGACCGGCCACAUUGGGACUGAGACACGGCCCAAACUCCUACGGGAGGCAGCAGGUGGGGAAUAUUGCACAAUGGGGGAAACCCUGAUGCAGCCGACGCCGCGUGAAGGAAGAAGUAUCUCGGUAUGUAAACUUCUAUCAGCAGGGAAGAUGAUGACGGUACCUGACUAAGAAGCCCCGGCUAACUACGUGCCAGCAGCCGC
rnacentral:rRNA from 1 species